rnacentral:rRNA from 1 species
UGGGGAAUUUUGGACAAUGGGCGAAAGCCUGAUCCAGCAAUGCCGCGUGUGUGAAGAAGGCCUUCGGGUUGUAAAGCACUUUUGUCCGGAAAGAAAUCCUUGGCUCUAAUACAGUCGGGGGAUGACGGUACCGGAAGAAUAAGCACCGGCUAACUACGUGCCAGCAGCCGCGGUAAUACGUAGGGUGCAAGCGUUAAUCGGAAUUACUGGGCGUAAAGCGUGCGCAGGCGGUUUGCUAAGACCGAUGUGAAAUCCCCGGGCUCAACCUGGGAACUGCAUUGGUGACUGGCAGGCUAGAGUAUGGCAGAGGGGGGUAGAAUUCCACGUGUAGCAGUGAAAUGCGUAGAGAUGUGGAGGAAUACCGAUGGCGAAGGCAGCCCCCUGGGCCAAUACUGACGCUCAUGCACGAAAAGCGUGGGGGAGCAAAACAGGAUUAGAUACCCUGGUAGUCCACGCCCUAAAACGAUGUCAACUAGUUGUUGGGGAUUCAUUUCCUUAGUAACGUAGCUAACGCGUGAAGUUGACCGCCU